rnacentral:rRNA from 1 species
AUGGCAGCAGUCCUGCAGUUGUGCGUCGACGAACUCUGCUUGGUGUACCACAUCGCAGCGGCCACAAAAUGGCCCAAGCGCCUGACCGAGAUGCUGCAGCAUGAGAAGUUGUUCACAUUUGCUGGUUUCAGCAUUGAAAGCGACAAAGAGAAGCUGAAGUUGUCCGGUAUGGAGAUCAACCCCAACAAGUUCAUCGACAUUCAGCGCAAGUGGAGAGUUCCAUACACCGGAAAAGAGUACGACUCCUUGACUAAUGUUGCAGCCAGCGCCAUCCACCCAUUCUACAAAGGCAUGAAGAACAAGAUCAACAUGCAGGAAGACUACAAACUGUGGGGGACCAGCGAGCUGCCAGACAACCUCAUCGAGUACGCAGGAGUAGAUGCUUACGCCGCGUACAAGUCAUGGUUCAUGAUCGACUACAUCACAGAUGGUUCGGAAUAUGCGAAAGACCGGGAGGCUGAAAACUACUACGACCGCCCCUAUUGCCCCUUUACGGGAUGA